rnacentral:lncRNA from 1 species
UAAGUAUUUAAUUUAUGAGAAAUUUUGAGAAAUAAAAAUUUCAAGACAUACUAAAUAAUUUCUUAAAGAAAAUUUUCUAACGUUUGGUCCCGUAUGAGAUUUUCUUUUCAUGCAAUUUACUAUAAAAUAUCUUGACAGAUGGGAUGUCACUGAUAUCAAAAAUAAUAUAUCCAAAAGAAUAGAUAAAUAAAUAAAUAAAAUAACAUAAAAUUUUUCUCUCUUAACCAAAAUAUCAUUUUUCCUUAGUUUUUAAAACAAUAUCCUUCUAAUCCAAUCAAAUGCUCACUCGUCUCUUGAGGUAAUCUUGCAUUAAUGAACAAGUUUUGAUUUAAACAUUUCAUCACAAGAUAAGAAAAACAAAACAAUUAUUUACUCAAACUCCUUGACAACGUCUUCAAAGUUCUAAUAAAAAUGAACGUAAAGUUUUAAGAUUUUUGGGUCAUUUUGUAGGUGACGUGGGUUGAUCCUAAAGAAUUAAAUGUUAAUACGAAAUGUUGAAGAAGAUCUUUUGUCUUUAUAUAUAUCUUUGAAGGGAAAAGACUUAUGUGGAACUGUCUGCUUAGUUGAUGAGACAGUCUAAUGGUAUUCUAUCAUAUAUAAGAGCAGAGGAUCCUCAUAUAAGAUCUAGUGAUAUAUUAAUACUAUAUUUAAUAAGUCCUACUCAAGAAUUUAUUGUAAUUUCAUAAUAAAAUUCAUCGCUCAGUGACAUAAUAAAUUAAGAUAUCUCACUCUUUUUAUUAUUAUAAAAAGGCUCACGAAGAGUUAAGGCAACACUAACUGGGACUGUCAUUAGCGACCGAAGCUGCGGCGAUCGGUGGUGAAAGAUGUCUCACUCUUUCAGCAUAUUGAGAUGAGAAGAAUUCGUUUUUAAAGGAAUAGAGGUAAAAACGUUUUUUUUUUAUUUGAUUAAUCUAAUUGUUUUGCUAAACAUUAACUUUUGUGUUUAAUAUUUGUUGUUUUUUUUUUCUUUCUUUUUUUUUUGUUUUUUUUUCUUUUGGCCCAAUUGAAAGCUUCACAUGAUAAGAUGGUAUCUUCAAACAAAUAAUUGCUUCUUGGCAUGUAACAUCAUCGAACACAACAUCAGCAGGACCUCAACCUUGGGGUCCGUAGGUUGAACUACAGUGAUUCUCACGUAUAGUCGUAUAAUUUAUUUUUUAGUUAUGCUAUUUAUCCCGGGUCAAACCCCGAAAGUAAUUGAAGCAACGUCGUUUCCUUUUUUUUCGUUUUUGUUCUCGAUAAAACGAUGUUUGGUUUAAUUAGCAUCAGCUCCAAUUGUUCUCUCUUCAUCUUCAUUUCAGAACCAAUCCCAAGCACUGUAAAACCCUUUCAUCUUGAGAUUCUUCACCAUUUUGACUCUUCUUGAAUAGUUUCAAAAGGGAAAAAAGAGAAGAAAAAAAAAGGGUCAUGUCACAUUAGAGAGCAACUUUGUGCUAUACAUUCUUCAACCCGAGCCGAGGAAAAGCACUUCUUAGAUUUAGAUCCAUAUACAUUUAUUCACAUUACCAGCAACGUGUCAUUGGAUUUUCACAUGCACACAUGCAUCUUCUUCUUUGCAAAAUGAAAAGCACUUCAUUUCUCUCAGCAAAAACACUUCUUAGUUCGUUCUCAUAUGCUUAGAUUACAAGUUUAAUUACUGCAAUUUCAGGCUGUUGUGAGACGAAGAGAAAAUGAAGAGAGAAAGCAAUUUUGAGUUGUUGUUGAUUUUGUUUUAACCAAGCUGAAACGAAGGGGAACAGAAACAGAGAAAUAGGAGGGGCUGUGAGACAAAGAAAGAGAAAGCAAUUUGUUGAGACGAACAGAAUGAAGUGAAGGAGUAGGGUUGUUGUUGAUUUUUUUUCCUUAAAACGACGUCGUUUUAGGGAGAAUGAAAUAAAAAAAAAAGAAUUAAAACGACGUCGUUUGUUGUUUUCGGGGUUUGACCCGAGGCUUGACUCGGGGUAAGUAGCAUUUUCCUUUAUUUUUUGAAGCUGUCGAAAGAAGAGAGAAUAUGGGCUGUCGUGAAAUUCAGAAUUCCUAUUUUUAAGAUUUUGGGUAUCAGAUUGCUAUUGACAAUUUCUUUCCUAUUUUUAAAAUUCUCAUUAGAUUCCCCCCCCCCCAAACAAAAAAAAUCAGGUUUAACUGUUUAAGUGUCGUUUCUGUAUUUUAUUUUAUUUUGAUAAUUGAAUUUGACCUAUUGUAAUAAACUUUGAAGAAAUGGUGUAGCAGCUCUAGAUAUGAGACGAUUGAUUAUUAUUAGGAAAAUUAUCAUUGUACCACUUUUAUUUUGUUUUAUGUUCAUCCAACCACUACAAAAUUUUAAUAUGUAUUUUGCACCA